rnacentral:rRNA from 1 species
GGGUUCAGCUGUUCGCUGAUUAAAGAGGUACGUGAGUUGGGUUCAAUACGACGUGAGUCAGUAUGGUCCCUAUCUUCUGAAGGAAAUAAUUGUCAAAAGAGGUUCUCUCACUAGUACGAAAGGACCAUGAGGGAUGAUUCUAUGGUGUACCUAUUGUUA